rnacentral:rRNA from 1 species
UACGUAGGCAGCGAGCGUUGUUCGGAAUUACUGGGCGUAAAGAGUGUGUAGGCGGUGUUCCCAGUCUGUUGUGAAAUCUCCCGGCUUAACUGGGAGGGUGCAGCGGAAACUAGAAUGCUAGAGGGUGGGAGAGGUAAGCGGAAUUCCUGGUGUAGCGGUGAAAUGCGUAGAUAUCUGGAGGAAUACCGGUGGCGAAGGCGGCAUCCUGGACCGGCAUUGACGCUGAUGAGCGAAAGCUAGGGGAGCAAACGGG